GAUGAAGAACGCAGCGAAAUGCGAUAAGUAGUGUGAAUUGCAGAAUUCAGUGAAUCAUCGAAUCUUUGAACGCACAUUGCGCCCCUUGGUAUUCCAUGGGGCAUGCCUGUUCGAGCGUCAUUUGUACCUUCAAGCUUUGCUUGGUGUUGGGUGUUUGUCCCGAGGGACUCGCCUUAAAGUAAUUGGCAGCCAGUGUUUGGUUUUGAAGCGCAGCACAAGUCGCGAUUCAAGGCUACACGCCCGCUUCCAGAAGCCUUUUUUCACUUUUGACCUCGGAUCAGGUAGGGAUACCCGCUGAACUUAAGCAUAUCAAUAAGCGGAGGA
rnacentral:misc_RNA from 1 species